rnacentral:rRNA from 1 species
GACGAACGCUGGCGGCGUGCCUAAUACAUGCAAGUAGGACGCAGUUGCGAACGGGUGAGUAACGCGUCGGUAACUGCCUAUUAGAGGGGGAUAACUAUUGGAAACGAUAGCUAAUACCGCAUACUAGUAGAUGGACCUGCGUUGUAUUAGCUAGUAGGUAGGGUACUGGCCUACCUAGGCGACGAUACAUAGCCGAGCUGGGCGGGUGAUCGGCCAAACUGGGACUUAGACACGGCCCAGACUCCUACGGGAGGGAGCAGUAGGGAAUCUUCGGAAAUGGGGGGAACGCCGACCGAGCAACGCCGGGGGAGUGAAGAAGGGUUUCGGAGCGGAAAGCUCUGUUGUGAAGGAAGCGGUACUUAACCAGAAAGGGACGGCUAACUACGUGCCAGCAGCCGCGGUAAUAC